rnacentral:rRNA from 1 species
GACGAACGCUGGCGGCGUGCUUAACACAUGCAAGUCGAACGAAGUGGCGAACGGGUGAGUAACGCGUAAUCAACCUGCCCUUCAGAGGGGGACAACAGUUGGAAACGACGGCUAAUACCGCAUACUGAAGGGGGGGAUUGCGUCUGAUUUGCUCGUUGGGUGGGUAACGGCCCACCAGGGCGAUGAUCAGUAGCCGGUCUGAGAUGGUGAACGGCCACAUUUGGACUGAGACACGGCCCAGACUCCUAAGGGAGGCAGCAGGUGGGAAUCGUCCGAAAUGGAGGGAAGUCUGACGGAGCAACGCCGCGUGAGUGAUGACGGCCUUCGGGUUGUAAAGCUCUGUUAAUCGGGACGCGGUACCGGAAUAGAAAGCCACGGCUAACUACGUGCCAGCAGCCGCGGUAAUUC